AUCCUGUGAAGUCAGACUAACAGUGAGACUCUCUGAAAAAUGACAUUGUUCAUCCCAGAUAUGGCAGCUGGACGUCUGUUUCUGGUCGUCCUCAUUUUCUAUACCUUCCAACAUGUCAAAGCCCAAGAUUCCCUCACUCCCUCACAGUUGAAGAGUACCUAUGAUAAAAAUGACAGACUUCUACAUGCUUUGUAAGUAGGAAAACCUGCAAAAUCGGCAGUGUAUCAAAUACUUGUUCUCCCCACUGUAUCUUUGUCCUAUGUAAAUACACACACAUUUUUUAUUGUUGAAAUUCAUACUUUUUAAACAAGACUAGGGCAGUCACACUCACUAUUCGUGUCUUUUGAUGUGGUUUUUACUAGCUGAACAUUGAAAGGGAAAGACAUGGUCCAGUGUAGAUCAUCUGUUAAGAGCAUGGUGCUUGAAACAGUAGGAUUGUGGAUUUAAGUCUAACCAUAAAUACUCCACACCUGCGGAGUACCUGGUUUGGGGGGCCCGUUGCUGUCCCUGUCCUUGUCCACCUGGUCAUACUUUUGACCUAGUCUAGAAUCAAAUAGACUCUGGAUUUAGCCCAGAGAAAUUUAUUAUUCUAAUUGGACUCUUAAUAUCUCACCCGGCACAGCCAGAAGAGGACUGGUCACCCCUCAGAGCCUGGGUCCUCUCUAGGUUUCUUCCUAAAAUUCGGCCUUCUUAGGGAGUUUUUCCUAGCCACUGAAAUCCAACACUACUGUUGUUUGCUCCUUGGGGUUUAAGGCCGGGGUCUCUGUAAAGCACUUUGUGACAACUGCUGUUGUAAAAAGGGCUUUAUAAAUACAUUUGAUUGAUUGAUUGAUUGAUAAAUAAAUGGAUGCAUUUACUACUGGAAGUUGCUCUGAAUAAGUGUGUCUAAUAAAAUGCUUAUAUAAAUAAAUGUAAAAUUAAUAUCAGUGGGCCAGAUUCUUACAUAUCUCGCGCUGUUCCAUGUCUUCUAAAAGCAAACACUUCAUUAGACCUCUCGAGAGUAUGAAAUCCAUACUUUUCUCUAUAUUUCUUUUAAUAGAGAGAUUUCUAAUAAAGAGAUUGGUGUUCAUUUUUCUUUCGCUCAAAUACAUUGGAUACUUAUCAUGUGAUUUCCUUUUAGUAGGAUAACAAUAGUAAAACUGUGACUAUGAGACGUGCAGCAAGGUUUAAGAACCAUCCCUAUAUAAUGGUUAGGUAUGAUUUUCUUUUGCCCCUUCAAAUUGAUUACAUUCAUUUUAUUGAAUGGAAAAAUAAAGUAUGCUAGCAAUAUGCAAUAUUGCUUAGUGUAUUCUCCUACGUUAAUAAUACAUUUUCAGAAAAUAUUUAUUAUCUAGACACCAACGAAGAUUGGGGAAAUGUCCUACUUAAGCGCACAAUAUAACUUACUCAGUUAUUAAUCCCCCCCUUCAGUGUACAAUGUUGACACUUUCAAGCAUUAAAACCAACCUCAGAUACAUUUGCCUGAUUCUUGGCUGACGACUAAUGCAGAAUUUGACUUCUCAAUAUCUUCACCAGAUUGUUUUAGUAACAUAUGAAACUUAAACUAUAUUCAAACCCCAAAAGUACUAUGAUUUUAAACAUUUUGUUUCUGAGCUGAUAGAAUAAGCAUCUUAUCUGAUUUAGCGUCUGUCCUGAAAACAGUUAUCAAACAC
ensembl:lncRNA